rfam:Gossypium raimondii chromosome 13, whole genome shotgun sequence.
AUAUAACAAUGAGGGAAUUUUUAUAAUAAGUCAUUAAAUCAUUUUCAUUCCUUAUACAAGGACUCAUCAUCGGAUUGCUGAAACGUAGUAAUUUCAUUUUUUAGCUU